AUGGGUCUUUUCGAGUAUGUUCAAUAGAAGUAAGUGAAGAAGAUUACCUUGAAUCUCGCCGGCGCCGAUCCGAUAAAGUAGACUGAGAGACAAAAUCCAGCGGUCAAAGAGAAGGAAGAAUCAGGAUGUGACGAAGAUGGACUUAAAUUUCGUAAUGGGCUUUUGAAAGCAGCACAGGCCCAUAAUAUGAGAGGACUUAGAAGUUAGAAGUUAGAAGUUAGAAGUUAGAACCUUUUUUUUUUUUUGUUUGGUUAAAGAACUUAGAACAUUUUCAAAUA
rnacentral:lncRNA from 1 species